CAGGCAGGAGGUGGAGGAGGGGAGCCAUCUCUGUCCUCUGUAUCAUCUUUGUUGUCAUGACAACAGCAGCCAUGCUCUCUGGAGUGUUCCAGGUGCUGAUGCUUUACAGGGGCUUUCUAAUACCUCCAGACACUCUCUCAAGGUGGUUGCUACUCUCCCCACUUUAUGGAUGAGAAAAUUGAGGUUCAGAGCGGUUGGCAGACUGGCUCAGGGUCCCCCAGCAGAGUUUUCCCCUCCAGGCCUCUCCAGGACUCACGCUCAGGCCCUCCCCUCCACGUCCAGGUCGUGCCUUGGCGUGCGGACAUCUGUGUGCAUCGUGGUGCCGGGAGCAGGGACUGUCUAGUGCGUGCCUCCUGGACACACAGCUGGACUGUGCUUCCCAGCCCCCGACCCCCUGGGAGCCUGGCCCAUCAAACCCUCCUCCCCUCCCUCCUUCCCUGGAUCCCAGGCCCCCCCGCCCCGGGGAGAGUGGGGCCAUUUGCUGGAAGGAGCCUGGGCCCCUGCAUGACCGUGUGGAGCUGAGCAGCCACAGAGCCCACGUCAGGCUCAGGUGUGAGAGACAAGUAGAUGUCUACUGUGGGAAGUCACUGAGCUGUGCUGUGGUGUUUUUUGUUUUUUUUUUUUUUUAAUGUUUAGUUUGAGAGAGAGUAUGAGAGAGAGUGAGUGAGGAAGAGGCAGAGAGGGAGACAGAAUCCAAAGCAGGCUCCAAGCUCCAAGCUGUCGACAUAGAGCCUGACACGGGGCUCAAACCCACAAACCGUGAGAUGCUGACCUGAGCCGAAGUCGGAUGCUUAACCAACUGAGCCAUCCAGGCACCCCGACGUGCUGUGGCUUGUUAGCUUGCUGGAGCUUCCAGGGCUGGGACGAGGCAGCUAGAACAAGGGCUAUCCAGGGCAGUGGCAGCUUCCUGUGGCCUCACAAGCAGCAGGGGCCUCAGCCCAGGAAGGAGAGAUGGUGGAUGCUUCUUUAGGGGGGCCCCCGAGGACCCCCAGAACCACCAGCAUCCUUAGUGGGGAGGGGGAUGGGUCCCACAGUACGCAUGAGGCGGGGGGGCCAGGGCUCUCUGCAAGCAAGCAGCCGCAGCCCCGGGGACCAGGAGGCUGAGAGGUAGUGUUCCCCCCUCAACCCCAAAGCCUUCCUCUGAAUCCCUCGUAGAAAACGGCCACUUGGUCCCCUGUUGUCCGCGAAGAUGUGGCAGAGUCUUGCAUUGGGAGCCUGAGAAAUCUGGAUUUGAAUUCCCUGCUCCACAACCAACUCACUCUGGACACGAACUCUUGAUGUCUGCCUCCACAUGGCUUUACUCGGUGUCUGUGUGUAAAUGCAUGCAUCCAGGCCUCUUCUCUUUUAAGGACACCACUCACUGAGCCAAGAGUUAAAUCACUGCCCUGUCGCACCAACCUGUGGAUGGGAUUGGUGGCCCGGUGAACCACAGCCUUCUGGUGUUCAUGCCCUCCCGUGGUCUUCCUCCCGCUGGAGCCGACCCUGUGACUAGAACGUGCCACAUCCGGGCCUGGCCUGCCAGAGGGCUGCCGGCCUCUGCCGCUCCCCUCCUGGACCCUGCACCUUGGGGAGCUCUGUGCACCCAUCUACCAAGUCCAAGUCCCCUCCGGGAAGAUGAGCCGGAGAGGCAGGCUGUUGUCCCAUGCGGAGCAGGGACAAGCCCAGCAGCCUCACGGUCCCGUCGAGCCCCCGGAUGACACCAGCCCAGCCUCUCUCUGGAGGCUUUCAGGGGGAUCAGAAGAACUGCCCUGCUGAGCCCCGCCGGCCCACAGGACUGGGAGAGAGAACAGAAUGGCUGUUGGGGAGCAGUCUGUUACUUGGCAGUGGAGAAAUGCAGUUACAGGAAUCACACUCCGCCUCCUUUGGGACUGGAAUCUGCAGAAAAAUCCUUUGUCAAACCUCAGCGGGAAAGGACCCCAAGAAGCACGUGUUUGUGUGUCUACUGGGAUCAAGGCUCUUUGGGGAGGCUCCCUUUUCCAACCAUCUCUACUCUGCUGUCCUUUCUUUGAUGUUGGAACUAAGAAUUAUGGAAUUGUUGGAAGCAGUAGGGCCCAAAGAGACUCAAGCUUAGGGGCCCCGGCAUGAUCCCAUAGGUCGCCCUUCUGACGAAGGUCUCCAGGGACACUGGCCUGUGUCAGGACAAUAAGCCUUCUCCAAGGAGGGCUAGCGCCCCCUCUGAGAGCCACAGUGUCACAGGGAAGCCACUGAGCCCAGUCACCCUGGUCCAGGGAGUGCAGCUAGAAUGUGGAGGAGGAAGGGCCACAGGCUGGGACAGGGCUCACAUCUGCGCUGAGGGGAAAUGGUCCCUCCACACCCAGCAGGCACCUGCUCCCAGAGGGUCCUGCAGCUGGGUGGUCCAGCCCAGGCCUCUGUGUAGAUGGGGCCCAAAGAGGGCAGGUCCUGCCAGCAAGGCAGUGGCCUGGUCUGGCCUGCUCCUUGGUCCUGUCCCCAUCCAGGGCUCCUUCUAAGUACCCGCGUCCCUGCUGAGGUUGUCCAGGCCGGAGCAGUGGCCCUCUGGGGCACAGCGCUCCAGGCUGAAUCCUGGGUGGGCAGAGAGAGAGAGGCAGGAGAGCCGCCCCCACACAGCAUCCUGUCCCCUCUGGCUGCAAGCACAGCUGGACUCGGGCUGACUGGCUGUCACGAUUGUCAUCUGCCCUGGCAACAAGCCAAGGCUGUUACCGCGAGUGCCAUUGCCAUGGAAACCAUGAGUCAGGGCCGCACUUAACAGAGCCAAACCUGCCAGGGGCUCUCAGGGCCUCUCGUCUGCCAACGGGAAAGGCGACACCAGCACGUAGCAUCUCCUUGGGACUCAUUAACAGGGCGGAGCAGGGGUGACAGGCAGGGGGCAUGUGGGGAGGAAAGGAGAGGGAGAGAGGCAGGGGAAGAUAGAGGAACCAAUAGUCCCGGGACAGGCUUAGGGCCUAAAAGCUCAGACCACAAAGACCAAGGGGUCUCUCCCAAGCGGCCAGAUCUGCCACUUACCAAACCCAAGAGGCCAAACUCCCAGAGACCAGAGCCCAGGGCUGGGCCCCACCAUGAUGACGAGUCGGGGUGCCUCUGGAUCACAGGGUUGUCAGGCCCCCCAGCACAGCUGUCACGUCCAGGGGUGCGGGUGGGGGGGGGGGGGUUGAGGACUUACCCAGGGCCACACAGUGGGCCCGUGUGGGGCCAGAAAGGCAAGAGGAGGAGAACCCGACCCCGUCCACAUGAGCCUUUUCUAGCUCCUCAUCGUCCCGUGGUCAGGUGGCCUCGAGGCUGCUGGCUCUGGAGGUGGCAGGCCCCACACAGGAGUCCCCGUGGCCUGGGCCCAGCAGAGAGCAGCCCCAGCCCCCAGAUCCACCCUGGGUGCCCAAGUUGUCAUGGUAAGUCACCUGCCAGGUUCCCAGGCUGGCCCACACAAGCCUCAUUGCCACAUCCCUCUGCCUCAUGGUCCAGAGUCUGACCCUUCCUGAGAAUCCGGCAGACCCCGCCCCGGGGAGGCCCCAGCCGUCUCCAGACGCACAAGCCCACAGGUGAGCUGUAGGUGAGGACAGCCGUUACCUGCCCACCCCGGGUGACUAUUCUCUCACGUCUUCACUGAUAACGGCCAGUGAGGUGACUUAACAAAGGCCACAGAACUCGCUUUGACCCAGGGACUUGGUGAUGACAGAACAGCGUCGGUGGCCACUCUGCCAUGGAGCACGGGCCAGGUGGCUGAGCCGUUCAUGGGAAGCCCUGAUGUCCACGCUCACACAUCUGAUGCCAAGGAGGCUGCGGGGCUGGGGGCAGCCCCUCUCUCUCUGCCAAGGCCACGUGGCUCCUGAGCUCCAGGAUGGGGGAGGGGCCGGGGCAGAGGGCUGACCACCAAGGGGAUGCAACCAUUCAGCUGGGAGGGAGGUGCUCUGGCCUUUUCUGCCGGUUUGCCGAGCGAGCAACAGAAAGUUAGAUGAAAUGUUCAAAUUGCCGGGGAAGAAAAUCAAGCAUCGUAUGCUGGCUCCCUGGGGAUGGUUGUUACCACUGGUCCUUAGGCAGCAGAAAGCAGAACGAAGGGACAUUGGAAAGCCGGCCAGAGGAAGAGCAAUUUCUGACCUGACCACCCUUGUGGCUUUCGACAAGGGAGGAAUGGAUAGAUCAGGGGCGUGUCUGUCAGGUCCCCUGUGGCCCUGCAGCUCAGCAGCCAGGGGACCGCUGGGGCCAGGAGACCCUAGCAUUCCAAUGCGCUGGGGGGCGGGGCUGGAUUCAAAGGCCCCUCCUCCCUUGUGCAACUGACACCUCAUCCACAGCUUGGGCCCCAGCCCCAGCUCCUCUCCCGAGUCAAGUAAGUGUGAUUGGUGCAGAGCUAUGAACCGGUGAGGAUGUGAGCAGGAAUCACACAUCUCUGUCAAGGCCAGCACUUCUCACCUUUUUUCGCAUUAUCACCUUGCUAAAGAGACUUUUUAGACAUCUUUUAAGUAAUCGUCACAUCCCCCAUGAAAUUAAAUCCCAGGGAAUAUGACUUUAGAGGUAGCACUGAGCUUUGGACCAGCACAAACUGUUGUAAUAGCUUCGACUCGCUUGCACCCUCCUCCCAGAGAGACUUUUAGGCCUUGGGGGUGCUGUCACCCCAUGGACAAUGUCUGGUCUAGUCGGCACAUGGGUGUUGCAUGUUGGGGAAUGGCCACCGUUCAUCUGUCCAGCUGACAUCCUGUGAUGGGUCCCGGGACUCAGCACCAAGGCCAGAAUCUCCCUACAUCCUGUCCAUGGGAAGUAGACUUGUGGGAGGCAGAUGGAGAAGCCAUUUCCAGAUUGUUCACCGAUGUGACACGCGUGUCCACUACCCAGGACCCUUUUCCAGUGCAGGAGCAGUGGGAGCUGGACCUGGAAGGGGAGAGAGAGAUGAGUUGUCCUGGCCGGUGUGCUGGGCCAGGCUGUUCUCGGCAGAGAACAGUUUUGUGGUGAUCGAGCCACAGGACAGGACAGGACUGGACAUGUGCCCCCACUCACAUCUCUCUGAAGUCCCAGCUUUGUGACCGCACACUUGGCCUUCCUGCGAGGUUCUGUGACAGAUGCCGCCAGCACUGCACCCGGAUCCCCUCAGGCCACCGUGAUUCCAGCUGCCAGCCUCCAUGUCUCAUGGCCUGAGGACUUGCUCCUGCUCACGCAGCUGGCCGGAAGUCUCCAGGGCCCAUCUUCAACCGGCGGCUGCUGGGCGCCCCAGUGCGUCCGUACCCCCCGGGUGGGUAACUCCACAGUGCGUGCUCCACACUGUCUCCCACGUCUUCCCAGAAGCUUUCAGCUUUCAGCUUCCCAUUGUGCAAACUGGCUGCUUCACCUUUCAUUGGCCGCCUUGCAAUCCCUGCCUCGCAAAGGUCCCUGGGACGCCUCCCAGAUAAAUCACUAGCAGUCGA